rnacentral:sRNA from 1 species
AGCCUCUUGCUCAGCCACACUGCCUGCCUGGUGCAGCCCAUGUGACGGGUCCGGCUCUGGGCCCUGCUGUCCCUGGCCCGGCUAUCCCAGUGGCUUCAGGCACCUUCUCCAGACCUACCCAGAAAGAUGCCUGGAUGGAGCCUGCAGCUCCGUGACUUUUCUGGGAAGCAGCGGCCCCUGCUCUCAAGAGACCCUGGCUCCUGAUGGUGGCCCCAAGGUUGCCAGCUGGUGCUAGGGACUCAGGACAGUUUCCCAGAAAAGGCCAAGCGGGCAGCCCCUCCAGGGGCCGGGUGAGGAAGCUGGGGGGUGCGGAGGCCACACUGGGUCCCUGAACCCCCUGCUUGGUUACAGUGCAGCUCCUCAAGUCCACGGACGUGGGCCGGCACAGCCUCCUGUACCUGAAGGAAAUCGGCCAUGGCUGGUUCGGGAAGGUGGGGACCACGUCCUGGUGGCUGUUGGCAGCAGAUUCAGGUGCCUCUGCCCCACGCGGUGUCCUGGAGAAGCCCGUGGGAUGAGAGGCCCUGGAUGGUAGAUCGGCCAUGCUCCGCCCCAGAGGCAGAAUUUGUCUGGGCUUUUGGGCUUGCUGCUAGCCCCUGGGGACGCCUGGAGCCACAGUGGGUGUCUGUACACACAUACUCAAAAGGGGCCAGUGCCCCUGGGCACGGCGGCCCCCACCCUCUGCCCUGCCUGCCUGGCCUCGGAGGACCCGCAUGCCCCAUCCGGCCGCUCCUCCGGUGUGCUCACAGGACA